GUAGAGUUUGAUCCUGNCUCAGGAUGAACGCUGGCGGCGUGCCUAAUACAUGCAAGUCGAGCGAACAGAUGAGAAGCUUGCUUCUNUGAUGUUAGCGGCGGACGGGUGAGUAACACGUGGGUAACCUACCUAUAAGACUGGGAUAACUCCGGGAAACCGGGGCUAAUACCUGAUAAUAUUUUGAACCGCAUGGUUCAAUAGUGAAAGACGGCUUCGGCUGUCACUUAUAGAUGGACCCGCGCCGUAUUAGCUAGUUGGUAAGGUAAUGGCUUACCAAGGCAACGAUACGUAGCCGACCUGAGAGGGUGAUCGGCCACACUGGAACUGAGACACGGUCCAGACUCCUACGGGAGGCAGCAGUAGGGAAUCUUCCGCAAUGGGCGAAAGCCUGACGGAGCAACGCCGCGUGAGUGAUGAAGGUCUUAGGANUCGUAAACUCUGUUGUNGGGA
rnacentral:rRNA from 2 species